AGCAGCCGCGGUAAUUCCAGCUCCAAUAGCGUAUAUUAAAGUUGUUGCAGUUAAAAAGCUCGUAGUUGAAUUUCGGGGUCAGUAGGUCGGUCGUGCCACAGGUAUGCACUGGUCUCACUGAUUCCUCCUUCCUGAUGAACCGUAAUGCCAUUAAUUUGGUGUUGCGGGGAGACUGGACUGUUACUUUGAAAAAUUGAGUGUUUAAAGCAGGCUAACGCUUGAAUACAUUAGCAUGGAAUAACGGAAUAGGACGUUCGAUCUUAUUUUGUUGGUUUCUAAGAUUGACGUAAUGAUUAAUAGGGAUAGUUGGGGGCAUUAGUAUUCAAUUGUCAGAGGUGAAAUUCUUGGAUUUAUUGAAGACUAACUA
rnacentral:sRNA from 1 species